rnacentral:rRNA from 1 species
UCUUGGUUCCAUUAGAGGAAGUAAAAGUCGUAACAAGGUUUCCGUAGGUGAACCUGCGGAAGGAUCAUUACAGAGUUCAUGCCCUCACGGGUAGAUCUCCCACCCUUGAAUACUUAUACCUUUGUUGCUUUGGCGGGCCGCUUCGGCUACCGGCUUCGGCUGGUGAGUGCCCGCCAGAGGACCCAAAACUCUGAAUUAUAGUGUCGUCUGAGUACUAUAUAAUAGUUAAAACUUUCAACAACGGAUCUCUUGGUUCUGGCAUCGAUGAAGAACGCAGCGAAAUGCGAUAAGUAAUGUGAAUUGCAGAAUUCAGUGAAUCAUCGAAUCUUUGAACGCACAUUGCGCCCCUUGGUAUUCCGAGGGGCAUGCCUGUUCGAGCGUCAUUAUAACCCUCAAGCUCAGCUUGGUGUUGGGGCCUGCUGCACUGGCAGCCCUUAAAAUCAGUGGCGGCGCCAUCUGGCUCUAAGCGUAGUAAUUCUUCUCGCUAUGGAGUCCUGGUGGACGCUUGCCAUCAACCCCCAAUUUUUCUAUGGUUGACCUCGGAUCAGGUAGGGAUACCCGCUGAACUUAAGCAUAUCAAUAAGCGGAGGA